rnacentral:rRNA from 1 species
UGCAGUCGACGGCAGCACGGGAGCAAUCCUGGUGGCGAGUGGCGAACGGGUGAGUAAUAUAUCGGAACGUGCCCAGUCGUGGGGGAUAACGUAGAGAAAUUUACGCUAAUACCGCAUACGAUCUAAGGAUGAAAGCGGGGGACCGUAAGGCCUCGCGCGAUUGGAGCGGCUGAUAUCAGAUUAGGUUGUUGGUGAGGUAAAAGCUCACCAAGCCGACGAUCUGUAGCUGGUUUGAGAGAACGACCAGCCACACUGGGACUGAGACACGGCCCAGACUCCUACGGGAGGCAGCAGUGGGGAAUUUUGGACAAUGGGCGAAAGCCUGAUCCAGCAAUGCCGCGUGCAGGAAGAAGGCCUUCGGGUUGUAAACUGCUUUUGUACGGAACGAAAAGGUCUGCCCUAAUACGGCGGGCCCAUGACGGUACCGUAAGAAUAAGCACCGGCUAACUACGUGCCAGCAGCCGCGGUAAUACGUAGGGUGCGAGCGUUAAUCGGAAUUACCGGGCGUAAAGCGUGCGCAGGCGGUGAUGUAAGACAGUUGUGAAAUCCCCGGGCUCAACCUGGGAAUUGCAUCUGUGACUGCAUCGCUAGAGUACGGUAGAGGGGGAUGGAAUUCCGCGUGUAGCAGUGAAAUGCGUAGAUAUGCGGAGGAACACCGAUGGCGAAGGCAAUCCCCUGGACCUGUACUGACGCUCAUGCACGAAAGCGU